GACCCGUUAGCUCAGGGGUAGAGCACCGGACUUUUAAUCCGGGGGUCCUGGGUUCAAAUCCCAGACGGGUCACCA
rnacentral:tRNA from 1 species